UAGAUUAAUCGUAGUGUCUAAUCACCUCACUCAAAUAUUGAAUUAUUCUUUUUUUUGUUCUAAUUGAAAAAAAUUGAAGGUGGAAAUAAUUCGAGAUAGCUCUCUCUCUUUCUCUCUCCUCUCGUUUCAUCUGUAGUCUCUAGAACUUCCCGGAAGAUCUGAUUUAGGGCUCUUGUCGGAAGAUUUUGGGUAAAAUUAUAAACUUUUGGAAGCAGGUUUUUUAAGAAAAGAGUUGUCAGUUGUGUGAUAAUAACAUGUCGAUUUGGGUAUUUUAUAUUUUGCAAACUGGAUAGAGCAUUAUUUCAGUGAUGUCAGAUUCGCGCAUUUACGAGUUAGAAGAUAUCGUCUGGGAAUUAGGUGACAAUGACGACCAUAUAGUGCCUCAACCUGGAGGCAAAAAGAGUGGAUUUUCAGUUGAGUGUGACAGUAGUAAGAGACCACAACUUCAGCUAAGAUGUGCUGAAAGUAAUGUUGACAACAAAAGUGCUUCAUAUAACUUUAUUCAAAGAAAGGAGGGAACGAGCUGUAGGUCUGUGAAAGAAGAAAAGGAAAAAAUGCUGGAUAACAGUCCACGGAACCACUCAUCUAGCGGAGGUUUAUCUGCUUCACUUGAUGGGGAUUCUACUGGAAAUUAUUUAUGUUCCCCGUCUGAUGAAGAGAGAACCUUUAAUCACUGUAUGACAAGUAGUAAUAUGGAUCCUACAGGUAAUGAAAUAUGUGCUGAUGAUCCUACACUUGAAGAGAAGGCAGCUUCUAUGGACAAUAACUUUUACCAAUUUGAGCUGAAUAACACAACUCAUACGGAAGGUGAUCUUGACUUUUUUGGAAAGAAUAUGGAUGAAAAAGAGAGCAAUGAUCUAUUGUACUAUGGAUGGUCUGAGAUAGAAAAUUUUGAGGAUGUUGACAGGAUGUUCAGAAACUGCGAUUCAACUUUUGGUCUAGAUAUUGACAAUAAUGUUGAACUGGGCUGGUUUUCAUCUUCACAUGCAACGGAAGGAUCUAAUGAUGCGAUAAAGCCAAGUUUUAACUUUUCUGACUGCAGCACAAGUGGCCUAGAUGGCAUGACUGAAAAGCAAGUUUACGGGAUGAACACUGAUGGCUUAGUAGCUGAUAAAAGUGAUGAGAAGCUUGCACCAGUCAGCUGUAAUAGAGGAUUAGAGAAGUUGACCACAAAUGGCUCUUGUACUUCCAUGAAUUCCUCUAACUUAAAUGAAUCUGGGAUGGUUUCUGGCAUUGACGGUGAAUCACAGAUCCACUCCCAUAUCAGCCAGCCGAAGCACCAGAAGCCGUCAGAAGGAAAAAGAAAAGAGUGCCCAUCAGAGAAUAGCGUCUCUUUCAUUCAUUUUGACAGCCCGAAUCAAGCAGCAGAAUCAAAUCAUUCAUUGAAAUUCCAAUAUAGUUUCUCGUCCGAAAAUCGUCAACAGAAUGAAGCUACUCAUUGUACUUCUGUACAGAUGCCAGUUCCCUUGGUAAACCCCGACAACAGUCAUGCUACUAAUAAAGUUUUACCAAGCACAACAUCAUCUAUAAUUAAGUCCGAAGACAGUGGCCUUCCAUCAACAUCCCCAAGGGAGUCAUCAUAUGCAUCCAGCCAAAUGCAUUCAGUGGAGAUUGUACAUGAUGUUACUCUCCAGAAUGCUUCCGUUCCCAGGAACAAGAAAAAAUACAGGCCACAACGAAGAUUACCUGGACAUCCUGAAAAGGGUAACUUAAUGGUCCAAAGAGAAGAUCCUGAUCCAAUUUGUUCAAAGAAGCUAUGUGAUUUUGAAAAUGAAGCUGAAGGUCAGAGUGAAGUUGAUGAUGCAGCUGGCAUUGCAACAGAGCUGGACUCUUCUAAUAGACAGGAAAGUUCUUGCAUGAGCUCUGUCCUGGAUGAAGUAUCGAUUGAUGCAAGUAGUUUUCAACAACUACAAAAUGUCAUGGAGAAGCUAGAUGUAAGGACGAAAUUGUGCAUAAGAGACAGUCUUUAUCGGCUGGCCAGGAGUGCACAGCGGAGGCAUAAGUGUGGCGACGAAGAUGACAAAGAUACAAGUGGAGCUUUUCUAUCUGAUGGAACAAAUAAGUGCGCAGGCUUUAUGGAUAUGGAAACUGAUACAAAUCCCAUUGACCGGUCAAUAGCGCACUUGUUGUUCCAUAGGCCAUCAGACCCUUCUGCAGCAGCUCCUUUAGAUACUUUGCCUGUGAUGUCUCACACUAUGGGUGAGGCAUGUAAUCAUGGUCCAUUGAUAGCUGAUAAACCGGCUUGUCAAGAAGAUACCACUUGAGCUAAUGGUGAAGCUGCAGGACACUGAGUUUGAAAGCUGAUAUCCAAAAAUUUGUUCAACGAACAAGGCCGAAAGCAGUUGGGCUUCAGCCCUGAAAUUGGCAUACAGUCCUGUUAUUCUUCUUCAUGAAAGAGGACAUCAACGACUUGUUAUGGCUUAAAAGGCUUGAGUUUCAGAUUAUCUGUUUGAAGGAAGAAGCCGAUCAGAAGCCGAUCAACUGCACUGCUUCCUGCAACUUAUUGCGUAUAUAUUUUCCGGUUUUUUCUUGUGUACAUUUUUACUCCAGGGAGAUGACAAUUUCAAAUUUAAAUUUGUUUUGCAAAUUUUCAAAUUUGGAUGGUACUCCUCUGCAACUUAAUGACAUCUUGUAGUUUGUUAACGUUGUACUCUUCUCUCUUACAAAUGAUUCAUUUCGGGAUUUCUCUAUUUAAUCACCA